rnacentral:rRNA from 1 species
ACUCCUACGGGAGGCAGCAGUGGGAAUAUUGCACAAUGGGCGCAAGCCUGAUGCAGCCAUGCCGCGUGUAUGAAGAAGGCCUUCGGGUUGUAAAGUACUUUCAGCAGUGAGGAAGGCGGGUACGUUAAUAGCGUGCUCGUUUGACGUUAGCUGCAGAAGAAGCACCGGCUAACUCCGUGCCAGCAGCCGCGGUAAUACGGAGGGUGCGAGCGUUAAUCGGAAUUACUGGGCGUAAAGCGCACGUAGGCGGAUUGGUAAGUUGGGGGUGAAAUCCCGGGGCUCAACCCGAACUGCCUCCAAAACNCCCAGUCUUGAGGUCGAGAGAGGUGAGUGAAUUCCGAGUGUAGAGGUGAAAUUCGUAGAUAUUCGGAGGAACACCAGUGGCGAAGGCGGCUCACUGGCUCGAUACUGACGCUGAGGUGCGAAAGCGUGGGGAGCAAACA